UUUAUUUUUUUUUUUUGUUUUUUUUUUUUUUUUUAGUUACUUAUGUAUACUUACAAUUGUAUACGACUAGUUUGGAUUUUUCAAGAAGGACGUAAAAUCUUACAUCUGUUACAGCGAUCGAUUCGAUGAACUUUUAUCGCUUUAUUAUUUAUUUCUUGAAUUCUUGUAUUGUAAGUUCGAUAAUAAGUCACAAGAACAUCGAUUCAUUCAAUAGGCGUUCUAAGUAAUCAUCACACUGUUAUUAAAACUAAACCAUACGAUAGCAUCGUGAGGCUCGUUUGUAUCUCAAACGAUUAACGCGGUGGAAAUGAUUCGCAGGGUCGCGUGUUUCUAUGGAAUUUCCGGCGCUUUUUUUCUUUUGUUCAACAUCGUACAAACGUCCCCUUUCGAGAUUAAUAAAUAUUUAUCAAAUAUUUAUUGCAUCUUUCAUCUAAACGUGUCAUCCUUGUUUCAAAACUAGGCCAGUUUUUUUUUUUUUUUAUAUUCCUCUAUGAAUCUAUAAUUAUUAACGUAAUUUAACGAUUUACAAUGUACAAUAUUUAUUCGACUGACAAAAAAAAAAAGAAUGAAAAUAAAAAUCCACUUCUCGAAGGAUUUAUUAAUUAAUAAUUUCGAAAAUGUGCAUCAAAUGUUAGGAAUUUUUUUUUUGUUUGGAGCCAGAAAUUCCUAGAAGAACAAAAAGAAUCGAAUAUCAAAAGAAAAAUGGGAAAAUGUAGAGAGUCCUCGUUGAGCGGACUUGAGUCAGUCGGUCGGUGACAUAAGAAAACAUGUACAAAAACUUUAUUAUCGCAACGAUGAACGAUACCCGCUUCCCGAUAAGGAUCUAACAAAUUAAUCGAACUCUACGAGUUUGAUUGACGUGCUUCUCAAUAUAUACAUUCAUGUAUGCUCGUAAUCGUAAUGCAUGCGCUUACACGCGCUUUAAGUACAUAUAUAUAUUUAUAUAAAUUUAUAUAUACGUAUACCUAUGCCCUCGUCUUCGCAGUGUCGCGCACGGAACUUAAGCAUCAAUGAAGUUCACGAACAAAAUCGUGGAUCGUUUAAUUUUACAAUCAUAAAAUUCGUCGAAAAAACGUUUUCCAAAACCUUAAAAAACCUCGAAAACUUUGGUGAUCGAUUAAAAGAAUUAUCUUUAAAAUUUUCUGGAAUUAGGAAUUUCGAUUUUGGCAGUUUUCAAGUUAGAAUGGCAGUGAUAUAUAUAUAUGUGUGUGUGUGUGUGUGUAUAUAGAUCAAGUGGUAUGUAAAUAUGUGUGUGUAUAUAACGUGUCAUUAAAUAUAUAAGAUAGUCGUUCAAUUGUGGCGUGAAACAAGUAGAACUCUCGGAAGAAGAAAAGGCGCAAAUUGGGCGGGAGAUUGUGAGGUUAUGGAUGAGAGCAUGUCGGCGGAAGACCGAAAGAUAUAUAGAUAUAUAUAUCGUGGAAAGGCGAAUAAUAAUAUAUAUAUGUAUAUAUAGAUAUAUAUCAAGUACCCGCUUCUAACGACUAGUUUGACGAAUACGAAAUUUAAUUAAUCAUAAAUACGUACUACUAGCCUACAUUACCGAAAAUUCGCAAUUGGAAACUGCACGGGGUACGUAUUAUCUUUACUUUCAAAAUAUUAUAAUUUUACCUCGGUUGACGUUAUACCUUUUUACAAAACAGAAUUAUAUUUACAAACAAUGUGCACGCAAAUAUAUGGAUAUUUAAUAAUCCUUUCUUCUUGUAUAUUUUCAUUUAUGCUCGAGAUGGAAAGUCGAUUGCAUUCGUGACCCGUGCGUUUCGCGAUCGCGAAAGAAAGAUAAAAAAGAGCGUGACAGAAAUAGAAAAGACAGUGAAAAAAAGGCAUGCAGAAAGUGUAAUGAAAAAAGGUUGCCUUCCAACGAGCCCAAAGAAGAGCCAGCGCAUAGGUUUUCUGUGAAGAUUAUUGGUCGUGAGCAGAGUGGCACGUGCUCGUACUCGGGUGAUCAAAAAACACUUAAAAUAUAUAUAUAAGUAAUAAUAAUUUAUGUACACAAACAUAUAAGGUAUAUAUAUAUAUAUAUAAUAUAUUAUGCAGACAAGAAAAAAUCACAGCUAUGUCAUAAGUAAAAAAGAGCAUGCAGAAUAAAAGUGUAUCGAUGCUCACAUACACGCACGCACGCAGGCCAGAAGAGAGUUUCAUUUUUGUUCGUACACAUCGCCAUUAUCAUUGUCAUUAUAUAUAUAUUAUUUUUUUUUUUUUAGUUUUGCUUGGUUGGUUGGUUGCUUGCUCCGUUUUAAGAAACGAGUAAAAAUAAGGAAAGGUGCAAACUGUUACCUUUAUUAUUCGGUCAAGUCAAGCAAACCUCGGGGGUCCACGAGAUACCGACGCAUUCCCAGAGAGCCAAAGCAACGUAAAUGUAAUACACACUGUGUCUGAGGAACAGGGAAUUUUCUGGAUUUCAAGGAGAAUAGGAUGAAUUCAAUGAAUUUAAAGGGUUCGAUAAUGAAACGUGCGUGAUCUCGCUACGAAUAAAUUCUCAUAAUGAUUAAUAUUUCAUAUCUCUAUGUAUAAUUAUAAUUUCAGGAUUAUCAAGUUUGUAGCUUGCCUUUAAUUCGCGCGAGAACACUACGACGAUUAACGAUGGUGAUGCAGGAAUCGAAUUAGUAAAGCGUUAUGACUCGAUGGUUACGGAUAUUGAUUAUGGCAAUUCGGACAAAGAUGGAUUUGAUUAAUUUUUCAAGAUGUACAAUUGGACGCAGGAUAUCUAAGGAUGAUCUCGACCUCGACGUUACUUUUUAUCGUAAAAUACGUAUUAUUUAUUAAAUCUCGAGCUUUCAAUGAUCUCUUAAGGCGCAAUAAAAUUUUCAAUGGCAAAAAAAUAUUUAAGUACUAUUAAAUACGCAUAUCCGCUUCAAUCAAAUAUCUACUCAAUCAAAUUAAUUAAUAAUUACAAAACUCUAUAAAUAGCUGGACUAAAGUGUUGACAAUAAACUCAGCUAAAUAACCGUCUAAAAAAAGUUUGCGAACAAAAAACAAAUAACAAAACACACUCGUCAGACUAAACGUGUUAAAUUCUAAAAAUAAAAUCCAACAAAUACAAAUCCAACAAAAUAAAUUAUCUCGUUAAGCACUCAACAAAGCACUCGUUACUCUUUACAAAAAAGAAAAAAGAAAG